rnacentral:rRNA from 1 species
ACGAACGCUGGCGGCGUGCUUAACACAUGCAAGUCGCACGGAAAGGCCCUGCUUUUGUGGGGUGCUCGAGUGGCGAACGGGUGAGUAACACGUGAGUAACCUGCCCUUGACUUUGGGAUAACUUCAGGAAACUGGGGCUAAUACCGGAUAGGAGCUCCUGCUGCAUGGUGGGGGUUGGAAAGUUUCGGCGGUUGGGGAUGGACUCGCGGCUUAUCAGCUUGUUGGUGGGGUAGUGGCUUACCAAGGCUUUGACGGGUAGCCGCCCUGAGAGGGUGACCGGCCACAUUGGGACUGAGAUACGGCCCAGACUCCUACGGGAGGCAGCAGUGGGGAAUAUUGCACAAUGGGCGGAAGCCUGAUGCAGCAACGCCGCGUGCGGGAUGACGGCCUUCGGGUUGUAAACCGCUUUCGCCUGUGACGAAGCGUGAGUGACGGUAAUGGGUAAAGAAGCACCGGCUAACUACGUG